UACGUAGGAUCCAAGCGUUGUCCGGAUUUACUGGGUGUAAAGGGUGCGCAGGCGGACUUGUAAGUCAGGGGUGAAAUCUCACAGCUCAACUGUGAAACUGCCUUUGAUACUGCAAGUCUUGGAUCCAGAAGAGAGUUGUGGAAUUCCGAGUGUAGCAGUGAAAUGUGUAGAUAUUCGGAAGAACACCAGUGGCGAAGGCAGCAACUUGGUCUGGUAUCGACGCUCAGACACGAAAGCAUGGGGAUCAAACAGG
rnacentral:rRNA from 1 species